GGCCCAUGACCUCAGUUGGUUAGAGCGUGGUGCUAAUAACGCCAAGGUCGCAGGUUCCCCCUGCAUGGGCCA
rnacentral:tRNA from 1 species